AUUGAACGCUGGCGGCAGGCCUAACACAUGCAAGUCGAGCGGGGUUUUCGGACCUAGCGGCGGACGGGUGAGUAAUGCGUAGGAAGCUACCCGAUAGAGGGGGAUACCAGUUGGAAACGACUGUUAAUACCGCAUAAUGUCUACGGACCAAAGUGUGGGACCUUCGGGCCACAUGCUAUCGGAUGCGCCUACGUGGGAUUAGCUAGUUGGUGAGGUAAUGGCUCACCAAGGCGACGAUCCCUAGCUGGUUUGAGAGGAUGAUCAGCCACACUGGAAAUGAGACACGGUCCAGACUCCUACGGGAAGCAGCAGUGGGGAAUAUUGGACAAUGGGCGCAAGCCUGAUCCAGCCAUGCCGCGUGUGUGGAGAAGGCCUUCGGGUUGUAAAGCACUUUCAGUAGGGAGGAAGCGUUGUGUGUUAAUAGUACACAGCGUUGACGUUACCUACAGAAGAAGCACCGGCUAACUCUGUGCCAGCCGCCGCCGUAACAC
rnacentral:rRNA from 1 species